UACGUAGGGUGCGAGCGUUGUCCGGAAUUAUUGGGCGUAAAGGGCUCGUAGGCGGUCUGUCACGUCGGGAGUGAAAACACGGGGCUUAACCCCGUGCCUGCUUCCGAUACGGGCAGACUAGAGGUAUGCAGGGGAGAACGGAAUUCCUGGUGUAGCGGUGAAAUGCGCAGGUAUCAGGAGGAACACCGGUGGCGAAGGCGGUUCUCUGGGCAUUACCUGACGCUGAGGAGCGAAAGUGUGGGGAGCGAACAGG
rnacentral:rRNA from 1 species